GCUAUGAUCAUGCCUCCAGAGGCUGAGGUGGGAGGAUGACUUGAGCCUGGGAGGUCCAGGCUGCAGUGAGCUAUAAUCAUGCCACUGCACUCCAGCCUGGACAACAGAGCAAGACUCUGUCUCAAAAUAACAACAACAAAAAAAGAGGCAGCAUAGACUUCAGAAAGGUGGGUCUGGGAAAAAUGAAUCAUAUACCUCUCCAGUGGUCUCAGACACCCCAACAUAGAUACCAUCAGAUCCCCUAAACACAGGCACCCAGGCAGGUGCCAUCAGAUACCCAAAACAGGCUUCCAGGUAACCCCCAAAUAUGUCAGACACUCCACAUAGGUCCAGCAGAUACCCCCAAACACAUACUAGAUAACCCCAAUACAGAUGCUGUCAGAUACCCUCAAACAGGUGCUCAGAGUCUGAAACACAUACCAUACCCUCCCCUAUCCACUUCCACACAGGUGCUAUUUGGCAGAUGUGGAUAGGCCAGAUGCUUCCCCCAGCACCAGCAACCUCUCAAUUGCCAUCAGACACCCCAGUCUUGAGGUUGCCUGUCUAAUCCAAGUCCUGCCACAGGGGAGGCAGUUGAACAGUAACCAGGAGUCGAGCAGAACAGCUCUCACCAAGGUUGGCUGGUCAGCCAGGCCUAGAAGAUCUCCCCAUGGCCAGGCAAGACGGCUCAUGCCUGUAAUCCUAACACUUUGGGAGUCUGAGGAGGGAGGAUCACUUGAGUCCAGGAGCUUUGAGAUCAGCCUGGGAAACCUCGCAUGACCCAGUCUCUAUUUUAGAAAAAAAGAUUUCCCCAAACCCAAUCACUUCAAAACAUGCACAAUAUGUUGUUGAGAGUCCCCAGUUCAGAAGCUGGAGGGUUGCGUCCCCAGGUGGACUAGCCUUCAGUUCAAGUCCAACCUUCAUGGUCCAGAGGAAGGGAGCAUGUUCAGGGAAUUGGAUGUCCCAGAAAUGCAAGACGUAAUUCACCAGGCACCCUACUGCAGCUGAGGUCAGAAACUCUAACACGGGAGUUUAUGAGGGCUCAAUGGUUGGGCAGCUGUGUAGCUGUGGCUUAUGGACUUAGGGGCAUGAACCUUAUUUUUUUUCCUUUUUUUUUUUUUUUUUUUUUUUUUGAGACAGGAUCUCACUCUGUCACUUAGGCUGGAAGUGCAGUGGCACAAUCAUAGCUCAUUGCAGCUUCCAUCUCCUGGGCUCAAGUUGUCCUCCCACCUCAGCCUCCCAAGUAGCUGGGACCACAGGCACACACCACCACGUCUGGCUAAUUUUUUUGUAGAGACAGAGUUUCGCCAUGUUGCCUAGAUUGGUCUCGAACUCCUGAGCUCAAGUGAUCUGCCCGCCUGGGCCUCCUAUGAUGCCAGGAUUGUAGGUGUGAGCCAUCAUGCCCGGCCUUUGAACCUUAUUUCUUUCUUUCUCUUUUUCUUUCUUUUUUUUUUUUUUUCUUUCUUGAGACAGAGUCUCACUCUGUCACCCAGGCUGCAGUGUAGUGGUACCAUCUAGGCUCACUGCAGCCUCCACCUCCUGGGUUCAAGUGAUCCUCCUGCCUCAGCCUCCCGAGUGCUGGAAUUACAGGUAUGCACCACCAAGCCUGGCUAAUUUUUGUGUUUUUUUUUUGUUUUUUUUUCAGUAGAGUCAGGGUUUCACCAUGUUGGCCAGACUGGUCUUGAACUCCUGACCUCAAGUGAUCCUCCCACCCUGGCCUCCCAAAGUGCUGGGAUUACAGGCGUGAGCCACUGGGUCUGGCCAUCAGCCUUAUUUCUAUAGCUAUCUUGGUUAUAGGAAACUUCAGGUGGACACAGCCCUCCCCUAAACAUAGAAACCAACUUUCUCAGAGACAACUAGGAAGGAGAAACAUCUCCCAUCUUUCUUUUAUCCAUCCAACCAUUCUGCAUUUAUGAGUCUUUUUUUUUUUUUUUUUUUUUGAGACGGAGUCUCACUCUGUUGCCCAAGCUGGAGUGCAGUGGUGCCAUCUUGGCUCACUGCAAACUCCACCUCCCAGAUUGAAGCAAUUCUCCUGCCUCAGCCUCCCGAGUAGCUGGGAUUGCAGGCACCCGCCACUACAUCUGGCUAAUUUUUGUAUUUUUUGUAGAGAUGGGGUUUUACCAUGUUGGCCAGGCUGGUCUUGAACUCCUGACCUUAGGUGAUCUGCCUGCCUCAGCCUCCCAAAGUGCUGGGAUUACAGGCGUGAGCCACCACACCUGGCCUCAUUUAUGAGUCUUUAGCAUGGACCAGGGGCGCUAGGAGCUAAGGAGAUGCAAGGAGCUUAGGCCCAGAGCAGGGUUUUCUCAGCUUGGCACUUUCGACAAUUAGGGCUGGAUAAUUCUCGGUGGUGGUGGCAGGGGUGGUCUCCUAUGCACUGGAGGGUGUUGAGCGGCAUCCCUGGUCUCUACCUCCUAGAUGCCAGUGGCUCCCCUGGUCCUGAAAAAAAUGCCUCCAGAUGUUUCCUUGGCUGAGAGCAACUGGCCUAAGAGACAUUCAGACACUUAUCCAGCCUAAUUCCGACUUCCUGGAGGAAGUGGGCCUGGGCUUUGUCUUAAAAGGAUGAGUAAGAGUUAGGUGGGAGAGGGAGUUCCAGGAACAGCGCUGGAUGAGCAAGGCACAGCGUAUGUGUAUGACGUGUAUGAACAGCCAUGAGACUUCAGGGUGACUGGGCCGUGGAGUCCGGAGAACCUGAGUAGUGGGAGAGAAGCGUGGAGGGAUAGGUGGGGUUGAAUUAUAAACAGCCUCAAAGGUCAAGGCCAGGAACAGGACUGUCUGGCGUGGUGUCUGUUCUCUGAAAAGCAUCCCAACUUUAUCGUGGAGACCCACCUUCUCUAAUUACCUGGAGUAUGACUCAUUCUCUGUUCUGUUUGUUUAACUUACUGUGAGGCUGUUUCCUCCGUCUGUCCCACGGACGGGAGGAAACGGGACAGACUGUCACGUUGACUUUGAAUACCUUUAAAAGCAGCUUUGCAGAGGCAAGCGUCUAUGAUUUAAAUGCUAGCUUUGCCGCUUACUGGCUGAAAGACUUUAAAUGACAAUAACAAAAAAUGAAGAGGAUGAUGAUGAUGAUACAAGAUACCAUUGCCCGUGUGUACCAGACAUCAUGCUAAGUGAGUGCUACCCACAUCAUUUUUCUUUCUUUUCUUUUCUUUUCUUUUUUCUUUUUUUUUUUUUUUUGAUACAGAGUCUCGCUCUGUCACCCAGGCUGAAGUGCAGUGGCGCAAUCUUGCCUCACUGCAACCUCCACCUCUUGGGUUCAAGGGAUCCUCCCACCUGAGCCUCCUGAGUAACUGCGAUUACAGGCAUGUGCCACCAUGCCCCGCUAAUUGUUUUGUGUUUUUAAUGGAGAUGGGGUCUUACCAUGUUGGCCAGGCUGGUCUCAAACUCCUGACCUCAAGUGAUCCUCCCACCUUGGUCUCCCAAAGUGCUGGGAUUACAGGUGUAAGCCACCACGCCCAGCCUUUACCCACAUUAUUUCUUUUUUCUUUUUAGGAACAGGGUCUUGCUCUGUGGCACAGGCUAGAGGGCAGUGGCAAAUCAUAGCUAACUGUAGCUUUGAACACCUGGGCUCAAGCAAUGCUGCCACCUCAGCCUCCCGAGUAGCUAGGAUUAUAGGCGAGUGCCACCACACCUGGCUAACUUUUAAACAUUUUUUUUGUAGAGACGAGGGUCUCACUAUAUUGCCCAGACUCCUGAACUCAAGGGAUCCUCCUGCCUCAGCCUCCCAAAGCGCUGAGAUUACAGGAGUGAGCUUCCGCGCCCGGCCCCACAUCAUUUCUUUCACACAAACUCAAAUCUUUCUUGACCUCAAAGGGUUGUCCUGCAAAUCAAAAUCAAAUGAUGUCUCCAGGAGAAAGAGCUUAAUUCCCACCACCCUGAGAGUGGGCUGGAUGUCACGACUCGUGGGCGGAUCGCUUGAGGCCAGGAGUUCGAGACCAGCCUGGCCAACACGGCGAAACCCUGUCUCUACUAAAAAUACAAAAAAUUAGCCAGGCAUGGUGGCAUACGCCUGUAAUCCCAGCUACUCGGGAGGCUGAGACAGGAGAGUAGCUUGAACCCAGGAGGUGGAGGUUGCAGUGAGCCAAGAUUGUGCCACUGCACUCCAGCCUGGGUGACACAGCAAGACUCCAUCUCAAAAAAAAAAAAAUAAGUAAAUAAGAAAGAAAGAAAGGAAGGAAGGAAGGAAGGGAGGAAGGAAGAAGGAAGGAAGGAAGGAAGAAAAUGUAGGGUGGAUGCAGUGGCUCACACCUGUAAUCCCAGCACUUUGGGAGGCUGAGGUGGGUGGAUCGCUUGAGCCCAGGAGUUCAAGACCAACUUGGGCAAUGUGACAAAACCCUGUUUCUACAAAAAAAAAAAAAAAAAAAAAAAUUAUCCUGGUAUGAUGGCAUGCACUUCUAGUCCCAGCUACUUGGGAGGCUAGGGUGGGAGGAUUGCUUGAGCCCAGGAGGCAGAGGUUGUAGUGAACCAAGAUCACGCCACUGCACCCCAGCCUGGGCAACAGAGCGAGACUCUGUCUCAAAAAAAAAAAAAAAAUUAGCCUGGUGUGGUGCUACGAGACUGUAGUCCCUGCUACUCGGGAGGCUGAAGUGGGAGGAUCUCUUGAGCCCAAGAAGUCGAGGCUGCAGUAAGCUGUGAUCGUGCCACCGCACUCCAGCC
rnacentral:lncRNA from 1 species